rnacentral:rRNA from 1 species
UGCCCAACAGCUAGCCCCCCCCCCAAAACUAACCCCCUCCCAUUAAUAACCCCUAAAUACACCCGUAUUUAAAAAACAAACCAUUUUUUCCCCUCAGUACAGGAGAUAGAAAAGGAUCAAAGGCGCAAUAGAGAAAGUACCGUAAGGGAACACUGAAAGAGAAAUGAAACAACCCAGUAAAGCCUAUAAAAGCAGAGCUCCCCGCUCGUACCUUUUGCAUCAUGAUUUAGUAAGUGUACCCCAGGCAAAGAGUACUUUAGUCUGACACCCCGAAACUUUGUGAGCUACUCCAAGGCAGCCUAUUAAUAGGGCAUACCCGUCUCUGUUGCAAAAGAGUGGGGAGACCUUUGAGUAGAGGUGACACGCCUACCGAACUCAGUUAUAGCUGGUUGCCCAAUAAAUGGAUAGAAGUUCAGCCUCCUGGCUUCUCAUUUCAUCCCCUGGGUUACACCCCUGCUGAUAAUAAGAAACCAAGAGAGUUAGUCAAAGGGGGUACAGCCCCUUUGAAGAAAGACACAACUUUGCCAGAUGGGUAAAGAUCAUA